UCUUUUUUUUUGUGUAUGUGUGUGUGUGUAUAUAUAUUUACCUGUUUACAAAGGAUAUACAUACACACAUAUACAUAUAAUACAAAUAUUAUAAAAUACAGAAAAU
rnacentral:miRNA from 1 species